UAUUGAGAUUACACCUUCAAAAUAACUAAUUGAUUGUUGCUCAAAAUUUGUAUACCCCCAAUUCAGUUUUGGGUAAUUUUGGGUCAUCAAUAUACAGAUGCAAACUAAAACUCAAUUAUUCAGCUCUGUAUAAAAAGUUUGCUGUUGUUGGAAUGCUUUGGAAGGGGAUGUCAAAGCUAAAAAUAUUUCGGAAUCAUGUUGUGUUGUAUUUGUGAUUCACAUUGGUUUUUAUUUUCAAUCGUUUUUAAGAUGAAAUCAUUAUUUUUAAUUCAUUAAAGUCAGUUGGAAUAAAAGCAUCUACUUCAGCCGGUGGAAACUGUCGUAUAUGUUUCCGGAAGGUUCAACAAAAAUUCGAACAAAGAUGCGGUCAACAAGCAGGAUCCGGAAGACAGAGAAGCCAAAAACAUGCCGGGGAAAAGUUUGUUGUUCGUUCGAGCAUCGGAAAAUGAAUACGAAAGGCCUAAUAGAAGUAAAAUUACAUCUGGUGUGGUGCUAUCCGAUCUGCGUCAGAGUGAAACCAAGGGAAUAUAAGUUUUGGUUAUCCAUGCGCUGCCGUAAGACGCCGCCGGCUGUUUCCGUUGAUUUUGUGUUUCAUCAGUAUCUGCUUUGAAUAAUGAAAGUGGAGGCAGCUGGGGCUCCCUCCACCACCAAGAAGCAGGACGAAGAUCAGCUCAAUUCCAUUACGGCAAGCAGAACCAUUCCCGAUUCAAGUACGAAGAGGAAAAUGAAAAGGCCGUUUAUAAGAGAAGCUUAAGGCAGAUAAAAAAGAUGUCAAACAAAAUUUGAGAAACAAAAAAAAUGCAAACACAGUCAAGACAUAGGCAUGGGACAGCUAUUGCGAAAAUAUCUGGAGAACGAGCUGGAUGGGUCGGACCAGGAAAAAUCUCGGAACAAUCCGCUCAUCGUCAUUCAGUGGAACCUCCAUACGUUGAAAAAUCUUGUGGGAACAGUCUGUUUAUUCUGAUCAGCUCAUCGGAACCGUUCAGAAAGAUUCUUCAUUCUCCUCAUUUCAAUUUGGCAACAUAGACGAUCGUACGUUGGAAGUUAUAAGUGUAAUCAUGUUUGAGUUUGCUGUCGAAAUAAAAUUAAAAAAAAAAAUAAACAAAAAUAUAAAAGAAUACUCGGCAUCAGAAUGACGGUUUGACAAUAAAGAUUUUAUUGCUACGCAA